rnacentral:rRNA from 1 species
GACGAACGCUGGCGGCGCGCUUAAUACAUGCAAGUCGAACGAGAAGCCAGAGCUUGCUCUGGUGGAAAGUGGCGAACGGGUGAGUAACACGUGAGAAACCUGCCCCAAAGAUUGGGAUAAGCCUUGGAAACGAGGUCUAAUACCAAAUACCUUCCUUUUAACACAUGUUAAAAAGAAGAAAUGCUCCGGCGCUUUGGGAUGGUCUCGCGAUCUAUCAGCUUGUUGGUGAGGUAACGGCUCACCAAGGCAUCGACGGAUAGCUGGUCUGAGAGGAUGUCCAGCCACAUUGGAGCUGAGACACGGUCCAAACUCCUACGGGAGGCAGCAGUAGGGAAUCUUGCGCAAUGAGGGAACCUUGAUGCAGCGACGCCGCGUGCGGGACGAAGGCCCUAGGGUUGUAAACCGCUUUCAGUAGGGACGAAAGUGACGGUACCUACAGAAGAAGCCCCGGCCGAACUAUAGUGCCAGCAGCCGCGGUAAU